rnacentral:rRNA from 1 species
GAGGUGGGAGUGCUCGAAAGAGAACCGGCGCACAGGUGCUGCAUGGCUGUCGUCAGCUCGUGUCGUGAGAUGUUGGGUUAAGUCCCGCAACGAGCGCAACCCUUGUCCUUAGUUGCUACGCAAGAGCACUCUAAGGAGACUGCCGGUGACAAACCGGAGGAAGGUGGGGAUGACGUCAAGUCCUCAUGGCCCUUAUGGGUAGGGCUUCACACGUCAUACAAUGGUCGGAACAGAGGGUUGCCAACCCGCGAGGGGGAGCUAAUCCCAGAAAACCGAUCGUAGUCCGGAUUGCACUCUGCAACUCGAGUGCAUGAAGCUGGAAUCGCUAGUAAUCGCGGAUCAGCAUGCCGCGGUGAAUACGUUCC